rnacentral:rRNA from 1 species
AGCAGCCGCGGUAAUUCCAGCUCCAAUAGCGUAUAUUAAAGUUGUUGCAGUUAAAAAGCUCGUAGUUGAAUUUCGGGAUCAAUUUUGUCAGUCGUGCCCUUUGGUACGUACUUGGUAUUAUUGGUUUCUAUCUUCUGAAGAACCUUGAUGUCAUUAAUUUGAUGUCUUGGGAAAUCAGGACUGUUACCUUGAAAAAAUUAGAGUGUUUAAAGCAGGCAUGCGCUUGAAUACAUUAGCAUGGAAUAAUGAAAUAGGACGUUCGAUUCUAUUUUGUUGGUUUCUAGGAUUGACGUAAUGAUUAAUAGGGAUAGUUGGGGGCAUUAGUAUUCAAUUGUCAGAGGUGAAAUUCUUGGAUUUAUUGAAGACUAACUACUGCGAAAGCAUUUGCCAAGGAUGUUUUCAUUAAUCAAGAACGAAAGUUAGGGGAUCGAAGACGAUCAGAUACCGUCGUAGUCUUAACCAUAAACUAUGUCGACUAGGGAUCGGAUGAUGUUAAUUUUUUAAUGACUCAUUCGGCGCCUUACG